UUUAAUUGAAGCCAAAAAGAGGCAUAUUACUGUUAAUAAUAUAACUGAACAACUUAGUUCCAAUUAAG
rnacentral:tRNA from 1 species